rnacentral:tRNA from 1 species
GCUGGUGUAGCAUAAUUGGCUAAUGCACCCGAUUUGUAAUCGGACGAUUGGGGGUUCAAGUCCCUCCUCCAGCA